AUGAGAAAUGCAAAUAGCUCGGCUAAUUCGGGAAGGCAGCGGCGGAGAUCAUGGCCCGUGUCCCACGGAGUGGGGUUGCGCCUUGGCUGCGGCUCCUCGUGCGGCGUGGGUUGUCAGCUGGAGCUGCACUGCUGUCUAACCUCUGGAUGGGAUCAGUGAUGAACACAGCACUGCCAAAAGCAAUUCAGCUCCUAGGAGGCAGCUGAUAUACUGCGACAUUCUUUUUCUUGCGGGAGAUUUAUUUUCUUACCAGAUAGCCUCAAAAUUCUCCUGUUGAACUCUUUUCUGGACGUGGAAGAAAUACUUCUAUUUGCGCACAGGUUGAGGCACUCUGCCGGCUCACUAGAACUGCUUGCGCCUUCCAUAUUUGCUUACAGGAUCGAAGUAGGCUGUGGAGAACAAGCAUUUGUGAUGGCACUUUCCUCUUCUUUCUGCCUUUCCCUGAAGCGUAGCAGCAGUCUUGUCUGUCACCUCUAAAUACCGAAGCUUUCCAUUCUGGUUCCAGUGUGUGCAGGUUGGCUGCAGUGUAACCAUGCAUAAACUAGACAUGAUGGUGGAAACUCUGUGGCUGGGAUGUUCAGCGACUUCUCAAAAGCCACAAAGCUGGAUUUUUGCUGCCUGUUUGCUAACAAUGCCCACAGAUCAUCUCCUGUUCGCAUUGCUGUGCUUUAAAAGAGACAGGAGUGAUGGCUGUAGCUCUCCUCAUCCCCAGGGCUAUCGAUGCCAGCCCAGCAUGCAGGGAACAAGGGAGCCCCUGUUUAACCUAAUGAUGAUAACUGCAUAGCCAGCGAGGGGAUGAAUGACCCCACGGAGCUAAAUGCUUUUCAGCUUCAGCACAAUGCUGAAAAUGUGCUGCUUUAUUGUGGAGCCUCCAGUGUGCCUGCGAGAGGAGUGGUGAUGUUCCCACCUGCUGCUGGGGAGGGUUAAACGGAGCCUUGGGAGGGAAGGCAUCCUUGCUGGGAGGAGAGGAUACUACAAUGGUCAGAGCACUUUUGUUUGUUCUCCUUGCCUCUCCCAGGACUGCCUGCAAGGAGGUAAAUCACUGAGUGACAGCCCUCUGUUCUUCAAGGCUUCGUCUUCAAAUGGCAGUGCUCUCAUUGCACGCCUUCAGAGCUGCUGGGAUAAAUUCUGCAUCUAAUCUCUGCAGGGUUUUUGUGCAAAUGGCCCCAACUUUCUCUUGAUUUUUUGCUGUGAUGCCACUGAUGUUAGGAAAACGCUGCCUCUGUUCUGUUGUAUGUGUGUGUUUUGUGUGGAAAUUGCCAUCCGAGAGGAUCUGUGUGCGAAUUAACUGCUGUUAUGCUUUGCUUUUUGACAAGCAAAUGUGGAUCUCCCUUCUGCUAUUAAAUGAUAUCUGGGCUGCCACCAGCUGAAUGUCUUCUGUGAGCUGAGAUGCUCGCUGUCCCUGAAAGCUGAACUGUGAAUUGCAAGAUCGGAUUCCUUCUGUGCUUGUGGGACUCCAGUAAAUGAAAAGCCAGAGCAGGAAAAGCAGCAUUCACAGCCUACCAAACUCCGUGUGUCAGAGUUGCUGCAACGCUACAGACAAAAGCGUUUCCAGCCUGUCUGAAGAACUUGCUCAAUGGUCCGUGUGUAAUCUACGGACUCUGAAAAAUAGUCAGGUAUUUAGGUGUUCCUCUGGGGAUGCAAAAAUGCAGGUGCUGAAGAGGCCAGCAUAUGGCUUGAUUAGGAAAUGAUAUAAGUAGCACAUCUGGGAGGGUUCUAAUAUUAGGACACACUUCAGCUGCUAUAAAGUAUGUUAAAAUCUAAACUUUGUGAUGUGACUGAGCAGCUUUCAGUACCAUACUGCACAGGCACCCAUAAUUGACACAUGCCUGUACCCUGGAAUUACUAUUGAAUUAAACCAAAGCAUGUCUCACCUGGAAAGAGCCACAUCUGACUUUCUCCCUUGUCCUGCCUCAAAGUAGAUGAAGUGAAAAGUCACUUGAAGGAUGUUAUUCAGAGCUUCCUGAGAAUUAUGUUUGCUUGUUUUGCUGUUGGCAAGCUUUGAAUCUCUAGGACUAAAACUUGUGGAUGUUUACCAUUUACCUUCUGCAGCUGGGGAAGCCAGGUUUAAAUCUGUGCUCCAGAACAGGUAGGCAGCAGGUCUCAAAACAAAUAUCUAAUGUUGGUUUUCGCAGAGGAAGUGACUGAUCCACCAAAGAGCCAGUGCUAGUGCUGGGGAAUAAUUUAGGCUUCUUUCCCAGGCCAACAAUUCAGUUGAGAGGUGCUUUCCUUUAGCUUUUGUGGCGGGCUACCAGCCCACGGGAGCGAUGUCUUGCUGCUGGAAGUCCUCAGCCUGGUCCCUGCUGAUGUCUCCUAGUACCUGUUAGAGGCUAGACUGCUUCCUGCUGCCUUGGGACAAAUUAGCAGAGGGUGUGGGAGAACUGGUGGCUUGAUGGGCCUGCCUCUGCUGCGGAGGCACUUUAUGAGGAGCAUGCAACUGGCCUUGGUGGGACAGGUGCUGCUCCUGCUGGCUGCUCUGUUUCCUUUCCUUGUCUCCUGGGAACCUGAUUUCCUCCUCUCCCAUCUGCUUUCCGCAUUUGCUGCCUGCUCAGCGUGGGUCAGAGCUGCUGUGCAGGGGCCCAAGCCCAUGGGGGCUGCCCAGCAGAGCCCCUCCAGUGCUGGGAGCUGGGGGCUGUGAUGCUGUGCAGGGAGGCACGGGGGAGCCCGUGUAUAGGAGCACAACUCAGGCUUUCUGUGACUGGCUGUCUUUAUUCAAAUACCAAUCUCAGCACCUUAUUGUGCAGAAAAAAUGGUGAAGCAAAGAAAUAAACUCCACAGGGCAAUGGGAUUUGUUUGUCUGUAAGUAGUUCUGCUGAUGUGCCUGGGUGUAACUAGGCAGAGGGCAGGUGCAGGAGCUUUAAGAAAUAACUUAAUUUUAAUUUUUUUGUAAGUUUUAAAGUUGGACUAACUGUGCUUUGUAACCGUGUUCUUUUGAUUGAGUGUCUGUCAUAUUAUAGAUGUUCUUGGAGAGUUGAGAGGAAAAGCAGCUUGCAAAUUCAUUAAGGAACUCUUCCGUGAACCUUGCGAUUUCCAGUGGCAUAUCAAAAAAAAAUCAGCUUAGAAAAGCAGCAAGUGUUUUAGGUGCCUGGCCAAGCAGCAAACAUCCUCCAAGUCGUUUAUUGCUAAUCAGAGGCAGGAAAAACUGUUGCAAUGAAAAGUGAAGUUACUUGGAAGUUGGAAUGCCCUUUCAUUUGAACACAAAUAGUUUGUUUUCAUCAUUUUUCUCUGUGAAUUGAACACAUCUGUCUUAAUUAUAAAGACUUAAUAUGUAAAAAAUAGAGCAUUUGGAGUAAAAGGUAUUAUCUUUCAGUGAUGCAGUGUACGCUAAUGAAUGCAGGAGUUAGCAUGACAUGCAGUAUCUGUCCCCAUUUAUUCCAGGGGACUGGACUUCUACAAGGCUGCUCCAGAAUCAGUGGGAUGCAGAAGGGUCGUAAGGACAGGGCAGCAAUUUGUGGAUUUUCUGACACUGGUGUCUGUACUUCUGUUAGCUUCUUCUCAGUAUCUUUAAAUGUCAAAAGAAAUCUGAGUAUUUAUUCGCUUUUUGAGGGGAAAAUGUGGUCCCAGAAGUGUAAAAAAUGCGAAGAAAACAAGAGGUGAAUGCUUCCAUGACAUAAUGUGAGGGAUGUGACUUGCCAGUCAAAACUUGGCUGGCAUAUCGAUGCAGUAAGCUGUAUCCAGUAGGUAAGCAAAUGGUGUCACCCUCUUCCCAGAUCCCAAACAACCUCCUUAAUGUGUAGGCAGCAGCCACCGAUCCUCAUGGAACAAACAUGUCCCCUUCCAGCAGGAGAGACAACACAGGGUCCUUUGAUUCCUCCUAAUUGCCUUUCAGUGUUUGUGGUCCAAUUGUACAUUUUCUGCAGAAGUUCAGUAAUUUUGGUCGCUGGCUUCCUCUCCUUGCUGACCUACAAAUACCAGUUUUCAGGGAGAGAUUUAUGAGCGGCAUAAAAUUACCAUCUUGUAAAAGCACAAAUCAUGGCUAUAAAUAGGGGUCUGGAAUAUGUGCAGGAGCCCCGAGGGAAUAGUGGCUCUUGCUUUGUCUGCCCAGGAUAGCCCUGCUAACCCAGGGUAAGGAGCCCGGUGCUCUGACUCUUGUAAGCUGGAUCAGAGCCAGCCAACCUUCCCCUAAUCCCCAUCCUUGCGAGGAUGGAAAUAACAUCUGGCCAGGCUGACAGUGGUCAGGCUGUAUAGGAGCUGAGAGCUCUGAAAACUGAACCUCCUCAAGCCUCGUAUGCAUUUAUCUUCCCUUGCAGAACAUUAGCAGGCAGAGUUUGUUUUCAGUGAGUUAUUUAGCAGAGAGGGGGAUUAAGCCGAGGGCUAGCAUUGAUUAACCCCUGCAUGUUGAGUUGUUUAACAGCGUAAUGGAUUAGUCAUGUUUGCUGGUGACCUUUGUCAAUUGAAUCCUCCAUCAGAAGUCUCUGCUGUCUUUUUAAACGUACAGAUGCUUAAAAGCAGAGUCUAUGAAAAAAAUGUCCCUAAAGUGAGUAGCUGGCUUAGAGCAUGGGACCGGGGCAAAUAGUCCUGGAAUUCCUGAUUUUUUGGUUUGGCGUAGAGGUAAGCCAUGGCACCCCACUUCUGCAGCUUGGCUACUUUCUGUUGCCCAUCAAAUGAAUCAAAGUGCUUGUGGGCUUCUGUAUAACAGACAGGCAUGAGGUAGAAGUUGUCUGAAUGGAAAUGCAUUGCGGGAAAAGGACUGAAUUUUCUGUGGGACUUGGAAGACUGUAGAAUGAGAGUCCAGCUUAGGACAGGAGUUAAUGUCACCCUGGAAAUUAAACCACUGUCAAGCUUAGUGAUUAAGUAGUUGACUUUAUUUAAAGGAAGGUAUGGGGUAGAAAUGCUGUGAGUGUAAAUGUGUGAAGCUCCUUUGCUUUUGAAGGAGCUAUGUCAAUUUAGAUAAUCUAGAUGGCAUUUCUGCUGCUAAAGCCAGGACUGGGGAGAGGAAAAACUGCUCUGUGGGGCCAAACGUGACCCCACAAUGAGCAUCUGUAGGAGACUGAGGAAAAAAGGGUGAUGUCCCAAACCAGAAGAUGUGCCAGGCUGGUCCUGUCCUGGCCCCCCGCAGUACCCUCAGCUGCAAGGGGAUGGGGCAAGGGCUCCUCGUGGUACCCAAGGGCUAUGGAGAGCCCUGACUUUGGGCAGCCUCAGGCCCAGUGGAAUGUCUGGAUGAGGGUUUCUCAGAUCUUCCAUUUCCUCAGCAGUGCCAUGAAGCUGUUAUACUUGACUUUACAAGCAAAAUACCUUCCCGCUGCAGCCAGGAGUUUUCUGGGCUCAUUUUGCCAUAGUACAAGUCAGGUCAAGAAGUUUGUUUGGUUUACUAAAGAAGAUACUUCAGUUCAAACAAGACUUAAUUCAGCGAAGCCCCAUGGCCUCUGAAACUUGAUCCCCUCUGGCCUCAUGAUUUAUGAAUACAAAGCUGGGGAGAAGUCUCGCUGGAAGAAAACAAGCUGUAUGGAAAAAAUAAAGGCAUCGGAGCAGGUAGGUGUUAGAAACCCAUCUGUGCAGAGGUGGCACAGCCAGGGGGUGUCAUGAGCUGCAAAGUGCUCUGCCCUCCUGGGGGGAUUUAAUCCUGUGGAGGGGAGCAGCUGAGGAUGGUUUGGAGUAGGUGCCCUUUAGCAGAGGGGUUGGACUGGGGUCUCUACAGCCCUGUGCUUUUGUUUUCCACAGAUGUGGACAGAACUGGAAGGAGAAAAAAUCCAUAGUGGCACUGAGGUGGUUUGGUGGUGUUUGGAGGUGGGGCUGCACCAGAUGCUCAAAGGGAAGUGAAAUGCUAAUGGAGUAUUUUGUACCUCUUGAAAAUGUGGCCAAAACACCUUGGACUUGUGCAGAAAGGUGUCUGAGGAAGAGACCAGCCAACCUGAAGGUUCAGAUGGCUGCGAGGGUUGGUAACAAAUCCAGCAGCUUGUGGAUGCUCCAGAAAGACACCAGCCCUGGAAAAUCCCAGCCCUCAAACCACUGAGGGUCUGCAGUAGGGAAUAGGGGGACUUGUGGGUGCUGCACCCUGGAGCCCAGCAGAAGUGAGGGGUCUGGCCCAGGUCUGCACCUCAGGCCAGGCUGUCUGGCUUGCCCCAGUGCUGCCCAAACUGGAAAAAUCAUCAGUGCGAAGAGGGAGUAAAAUACAGCAGGGACUUGUGGAAAGGUGCUGAUGUGUCUGAAAAGGUGACUUACUGGAAACACUGAACAGACAGAAGUAAAAAUUAGUCAUGUUAGAGACCACUUGGUAGCUGGAUAGGAUUCCUUGAGUGAUUCAUCCACAAAAAUGACUGCUUUGCCUGACGUUUUAUUUCCCCUCUCUAUUUAGAAAGUAGCUUAGACUUACCAAGACUGUGGCCCGUUGUCUGAAUUGCUUUUUGAUAGCUGGGUGGUGCGCAUAGCAUCCUCGUAUUCUCAUCAUUUCUAAACCACUGCUUCAGCAAGGGGGGGAAAAGACAACAAAAUUGAGGGCUUUGUCACUCCAGAAGCCCUCAGAGGAAUGAACCUGUAAUCUUGAGAAAUCAAAGGGGAAUCCAGGGAAUGUUGCCUUGUGUCUUUAAUGCAAUAAAAUUACAAAUGGAAAUGGCUGCCUGUAAAUUGUGUCAGAGUUAAUUGACAGAAAUACUGGGGAAAAAGAGUUGGAUGGAAGUCUCCAGGUUUGAAGCUGCUCGAUUUCAGCGGAAGGACUAAAGAAAGGACCAUCAGCUGGUGCAACCAAAACAUGCUGGGAUGCUUAUGUCAGUUACUAGAUGUGGAUAGAGUAAUUCAUAAAUGAUACCAAUUUUGGGUGUGCUUGGACAUGUAAAAUGUUCACUUUCCCUAUUGCUACUGGUCAUAGGGACUAAAACCUACCUGUGAUUUUUUUCACCAGCUCAUGUGUGGGGAAUAAACCUAGCAAAUGCCAUUGUUUGUCCUAAGGAGAGCAUGUUUAACAUGAACAGGAGGGCCUGCUGUGCUGCCUGGUGCUUGCCAGCAAAGGUCAGUGUCUGAGGCAGGGGAAGGUUGAACCAGCUUGCCCCAUGGUGGGAGCAGGAGCACGGUUUCUCAGUGCUGUGACCACACGUUCUUGUGAAAUUCACGCAAAUUUUUUCAGGAUUACUGGAACACAGAAACCAUCAGCGGAAAAGAUCUCUGGUCAUCCAACCCACUCAUGGCAGAGCAGGGUCGUUCCCAGCCAUGUAUAGCUUUGUCCAGACUGAUUUGAUGUGACUCAAGCAUUCAGAUUUUUUGCCACUUCCUUUGGGCAAAAAAGCCACUUGCAUGGCUGAGGAAACCUUGAUGUAAGGA